GAUGAACGCUGGCGGCGUGCUUAACACAUGCAAGUCGAACGGAAAGGCUCCUGCUUGCAGGGGUACUCGAGUGGCGAACGGGUGAGUAACACGUGGGUGAUCUGCCCUGCACUUCGGGAUAAGCCUGGGAAACUGGGUCUAAUACCGGAUAGGACGAUGGUUUGGAUGCCAUUGUGGAAAGUUUUUCGGUGUGGGAUGAGCUCGCGGCCUAUCAGCUUGUUGGUGGGGUAAUGGCCUACCAAGACGUCGACGGGUAGCCGGCCUGAGAGGGUGUACGGCCACAUUGGGACUGAGAUACGGCCCAGACUCCUACGGGAGGCAGCAGUGGGGAAUAUUGCACAAUGGGCGCAAGCCUGAUGCAGCGACGCCGCGUGGGGGAUGACGGCCUUCGGGUUGUAAACUCCUUUCGCUAGGGACGAAGCGCAAGUGACGGUACCUGGAGAAGAAGCACCGGCUAACUACGUG
rnacentral:rRNA from 1 species